UGAGUACGAGAUGCUACGGCAUCGAAGCAGUCUAUGUCAUACUUCCAAGAAAAGCUUGCAAUGUCAUAAACAAAUAAUGCCUGUACCAUAACCGACACAGGUGGGUAGGUAGAGUAUACUAAGGGGCGCGAGAUAACUCUCUCUAAGGAACUCGGCAAAAUGACUCCGUAACUUCGGGAGAAGGAGUGCCUUAUUUUUAUAAGGUUGCAAUAACAAGAUCCAAGCAACUGUUUACCAAAAACACAGGUCUCCGCUAAGUCGUAAGACGAUGUAUGGGGGCUGACGCCUGCCCAGUGCCAGAAGGUUAAAGAAGUUGGUUAGCAUUAGCGAAGCUGAUAUCUGAAGCCCUGGUGAACGGCGGCCGUAACUAUAACGGUCCUAAGGUAGCGAAAUUCCUUGUCGGGUAAGUUCCGACCCCACGAAAGGCGUAAUGAUUUGGAUACUGUCUCGGAGAGGGGCUCGGUGAAAUAGACUUGUCUGUGAAGAUGCGGACUACCUGCACCAGGACAGAAAGACCCUAUGAAGCUUUACUGUAACUUGAGAUUGAAAUUGGACUUUAUCUGCGCAGUAUAGGUGGGAGACGUUGAGAAUAUUCUUGCGGGAAUAUUGGAGUCAUCAGUGAGAUACCACUCUUAUAAUGUUAGAUUUCUAACUUUGUAUCAUUAUCUGGUCAAAGAACAGUUUCAGGCGGCAGUUUGACUGGGGCGGUCGCCUCCCAAACGGUAACGGAGGCGCACAAAGGUUUCCUCUGAACGUGUAGAAAUCGUAUCUAGAGUGUAAAGGCAUAAGGAAGCUUGACUGUGAGACCUACAAGUCGAGCAGGGACGAAAGUCGGUCUUAGUGAUCUGACGGUGCUGAGUGGAAAGGCCGUCACUCAACGGAUAAAAGUUACUCUAGGAUAACAGGCUGAUCUCCCCCAAGAGUUCACAUCGACGGGGAGGUUUGGCACCUCGAUGUCGGCUCAUCGCAUCCUGGGGCGGUAGUACGUCCCAAGGGUUGGGCUGUUCGCCCAUGAAAGCGGUACGCGAGCUGGGUUCAGAACGUCGUGAGACAGUUCGGUCCAUAUCCGGUGUAGGCGUUAGAAUAUUGAGAGGAGCCUUCUUUAGUACGAGAGGACCGAGAAGGACAUACCUCUGGUGUACCAGUUAUCGUGCCAACGGUAACGCUGGGUAGCCAUGUAUGGAGAGGAUAACCGCUGAAGGCAUCUAAGUGGGAAGCCCACCUCAAGAUAAGUAUUCUCAUCACGUAAGUGAGUAAGGUCACGGUAAGACUAACCGUUUGAUAGGCAUUAAGUGUAAAUGUAGUAAUAUAUGAGCUGAGAUGUCCUAACAGACCGAGGACUUGA
rnacentral:rRNA from 1 species